GGUGCAGUAUGAUGAUGACGACUGGUUACCUUACAACUGGAGAAACCUUUCCACAUACCCUGGAAACCUCAACUCUGUCAUUCUGCAACUGUCACCAUUCAUUAUCUAUGAGUUUAGGGUCAUUGCUAUCAAUGAUAUUGGAAUGAGUAAACCCAGUCGCUCGUCCGCCAACUUCCAGACUGGUGGAGCGUCCCCAGACACCAUCCCUAAAAAUAUCAAAGGAGUUUGCACAUGGAGAAACAACAUGGAGAUCAGCUGGCACUGAACAACAGAGAGUGGAAUGGGCCCCACCUGAAGUACUUGGUGUGGUGGAAACGGAGGGAUUCCAGGGAGGAGUGGAAGAACGCUACCACUUGGUGGUGUAAAUACUACAUCUACGACGCAGACACCUUCACACCAUACGAGAUAAAGGUCCAGGCUGUCAAUGACUUUGGGCUGGGCCCAGAGUCCCCUGUC